GAGUGCUUGCGCCAGGACGCAUUCUUGAUGAUCUUCUCGAGGGCCGGGACUAGAACAAGGUUCAAGCGGUAAUCAGCUUCCGAAGAAGCCAUCCCGGAAUUCGAUGGUAUUUUAGAUCUGAGAUGAGAGCUGUAUUUUAAUAAUUUGGAUGCGACGGUGAUGGUGGCCGCCUGGUGGAAUAGAUGGUGGCAGAUAUGGUAGCGAAGACGGGUGGGCUGGUGACGGAGACUCUGGCGGAUCUAGUUUGGAAAGCGGAUAAAUGAGAGCAGGAAGCUGCUUUUGAAGUGCAGCAUAUGUUGAUUUGAU
rnacentral:lncRNA from 1 species